GCUUAGCACGUAAAAUUUGACAGUAAGAUACAACUGCUGUCCGCCAGGGGUCUACAAGCGCCAGCUUAAAACCUAAAGGACUUGGCGGUGCUUCAGACCCACCUAGAGGAGCCUGUUCUAGAACCGAUAACCCUCAUUCAACCUCACCUCCCCUUGUCAUCCCUGCCUAUAUACUGUCGUCGUCAGCAUACCCUGUGAAGGAAAUAUAUUAUGCAAAAUGGGUAAAACCCGAAACGUCAGGUCGAGGUGUAGCGUAUGGGGAGGGAAGAAAUGGGCUACAUUCUCUAACCUAGAGUAUUACAAAAGAGGCUGUGAAACCAGCCCCUGAAGGUGGAUUUAGCAGUAGACUGGAACAAGAGCGUCCUGUCGAAACUGGCUCUGAGGCGCGC
rnacentral:rRNA from 1 species